rnacentral:rRNA from 1 species
CCCUUAGAUGUUCUGGGCCGCACGCGUGCUACACUGAGUGGAUCAGCGGGUCAGGUUGCGCGAAAGUGUUUCCUAAUCUUGAAAUCCGCUCGUGAUGGGGAUUGACGGUUGCAAUUUUCUGUCAUGAACGAGGAAUACCUUGUAAGCGCGGGUCAUCAUCCCGCGCUGAAUACGUCCCUGCCCUUUGUACACACCGCCCGUCGCUCCUACCGAUUGAGUGGUCCGGUGAGGCUUUGGGAUCUGAGCGGAAAGAGCGUUUCGCUGUUUCUGCUCGGAAAACUCAGUCGAACCUUAUCAUUUAGAGGAAGGAGAAGGCGUAACA